UCCUUUUUGCUUCACUUUGGGUUUUGAUUUUCGGGUUGUGUUCUUCGAGCAAAUAAAAGUGAGGAGAGAGAGAGAGAGGAGAAGAAGAAGAAGAGAGAGAGAGAGAGGCAGCGGAGUUGAGAAAAUUCGAAAGCGAAGAGGGCUGAGCUUCGGGGAGCUUCGCAACGAAGCACGAGUUCUGUUAUUUUCUUUCGUACUAGGUAGAACAGAGCACCGUGAGGCGACUAGAAGUACACCAGAGGGAGAAAUCGAAUGGAGGAAGAUGAAGAUGAAGGAUAGGUUUGGAAUUUCGAUCAAUGAGAUAGGAGCUAGACUAGCUGGACAUGAGAAUUUUUUGGACAUCGGGGAUCAGCUCGAAGGACUAAGUAGGGAUAUUAGUUAUUUGAUAAGUAUUCUUUUUGUAUAAAAUGUAUUUAAACAUGUUACGAUCUGAAAUUUUUGUUUAGUUGGUUUAGUAAUGUAGUUGAGAAAAGUUACUCCCUUUUGAAAUAUAUAUAUUAGAUAUUGCUGGAUUGAUUAUAUAUUUUUGAGAGUUGUGGAAAACAGAUUUUAUAAGAAUAGUUUAUAUGAUAAA